CACGUGGGUAACCUGCCCAUCAGAAGGGGAUAACACUUGGAAACAGGUGCUAAUACCGUAUAACAAUCGAAACCGCAUGGUUUCGUUUUGAAAGGCGCUUUACGGUGCCGCUGAUGGAUGGACCCGCGGUGCAUUAGCUAGUUGGUGAGGUAACGGCUCACCAAGGCCACGAUGCAUAGCCGACCUGAGAGGGUGAUCGGCCACAUUGGGACUGAGACACGGCCCAAACUCCUACGGGAGGCAGCAGUAGGGAAUCUUCGGCAAUGGACGAAAGUCUGACCGAGCAACGCCGCGUGAGUGAAGAAGGUUUUCGGAUCGUAAAACUCUGUUGUUAGAGAAGAACAAGGGUGAGAGUAACUGUUCACCCCUUGACGGUAUCUAACCAGAAAGCCACGGCUAACUACGUGCCAGCAGCCGCGGUAAUACGUAGGUGGCAAGCGUUGUCCGGAUUUAUUGGGCGUAAAGCGAGCGCAGGCGGUUUCUUAAGUCUGAUGUGAAAGCCCCCGGCUCAACCGGGGAGGGUCAUUGGAAACUGGGAGACUUGAGUGCAGAAGAGGAGAGUGGAAUUCCAUGUGUAGCGGUGAAAUGCGUAGAUAUAUGGAGGAACACCAGUGGCGAAGGCGGCUCUCUGGUCUGUAACUGACGCUGAGGCUCGAAAGCGUGGGGAGCAAACAGGAUUAGAUACCCUGGUAGUCCACGCCGUAAACGAUGAGUGCUAAGUGUUGGAGGGUUUCCGCCCUUCAGUGCUGCAGCUAACGCAUUAAGCACUCCGCCUGGGGAGUACGACCGCAAGGUUGAAACUCAAAGGAAUUGACGGGGGCCCGCACAAGCGGUGGAGCAUGUGGUUUAAUUCGAAGCAACGCGAAGAACCUUACCAGGUCUUGACAUCCUUUGACCACUCUAGAGAUAGAGCUUCCCCUUCGGGGGCAAAGUGACAGGUGGUGCAUGGUUGUCGUCAGCUCGUGUCGUGAGAUGUUGGGUUAAGUCCCGCAACGAGCGCAACCCUUAUUGUUAGUUGCCAUCAUUUAGUUGGGCACUCUAGCAAGACUGCCGGUGACAAACCGGAGGAAGGUGGGGAUGACGUCAAAUCAUCAUGCCCCUUAUGACCUGGGCUACACACGUGCUACAAUGGGAAGUACAACGAGUCGCGAAGUCGCGAGGCUAAGCUAAUCUCUUAAAGCUUCUCUCAGUUCGGAUUGUAGGCUGCAACUCGCCUACAUGAAGCCGGAAUCGCUAGU
rnacentral:rRNA from 1 species